rnacentral:rRNA from 1 species
UCGGGAAUUUUGGGCAAUGGGCGAAAGCCUGACCCAGCAACGCCGCGUGAGUGACGAAGGCCUUAGGGUUGUAAAGCUCUUUUGGCGGGGAACAUAAUGACGGUACCCGCAGAAUAAGCUCCGGCUAACUUCGUGCCAGCAGUCGCGGUAAUACGAAGGGAGCUAGCGUUGUUCGGAAUCACUGGGCGUAAAGCGCACGUAGGUGGGCAGUUAAGUCAGGGGUGAAAGCCCGAGGCUCAACCUCGGAAUUGCCUCUGAUACUGGCUGUCUAGAGUUCGAGAGAGGUGAGUGGAAUUCCUAGUGUAGAGGUGAAAUUCAUAGAUAUUAGGAAGAACACCGGUGGCGAAGGCGGCUCACUGGCUCGAUACUGACACUGAGGUGCGAAAGCGUGGGGAGCAAACAGGAUUAGAUACCCCCGUAGUCCCUGAGCGGGCUGGCAAGGCGCAU